rnacentral:rRNA from 1 species
GAUGAACGCUGGCGGCGUGCCUAAUACAUGCAAGUCGAGCGAACGGACGAGAAGCUUGCUUCUCUGAUUUUAUCGGCGGACGGGUGAGUAACACGGGGAUAACCUACCUAUAAGACUGGGAUAACUACGGGAAACCGUAUCUAAUACCGGAUAAUAUUUUGAACCUCAUUGUUCAAAAGUGAAAUACGGUCUUGCUGUCACUUAUAGAUGGAUCCGCGCUGCAUUAGCUAGUUGGUAAGGUAACGGCUUACCAAGGCUACGAUGCAUACCCGACCUGAGAGGGUGGUCGGCCAGACUGGAAGUGAGACACGGUCCAGACUCCUACGGGAGGCAGCAGUAGGGAAUCUUCCGCGAUGGGCGAAAGCCUGACGGAGCAACGCCGCGUGAGUGAUGAAGGUCUUCGGAUCGUAAAACUCUGUUAUUAGGAAAGAACAUAUGUGUAAGUAACUGUGCACAUCUUGACGGUACCUAGUCAGAAAGCCACGGCUAACUCCGUG